UUUUCAUCAGACAAUCUGUGUGAGCACUGCAAAGUACGCUUCUUUAAGGUAAGGAGGUGAUCCAACCGCAGGUUCCCCUACGGUUACCUUGUUACGACUUCACCCCAGUCAUGAAUCACAAAGUGGUAAGCGCCCUCCCGAAGGUUAAGCUACCUACUUCUUUUGCAACCCACUCCCAUGGUGUGACGGGCGGUGUGUACAAGGCCCGGGAACGUAUUCACCGUGGCAUUCUGAUCCACGAUUACUAGCGAUUCCGACUUCAUGGAGUCGAGUUGCAGACUCCAAUCCGGACUACGACGCACUUUAUGAGGUCCGCUUGCUCUCGCGAGGUCGCUUCUCUUUGUAUGCGCCAUUGUAGCACGUGUGUAGCCCUGGUCGUAAGGGCCAUGAUGACUUGACGUCAUCCCCACCUUCCUCCAGUUUAUCACUGGCAGUCUCCUUUGAGUUCCCGGCCGGACCGCUGGCAACAAAGGAUAAGGGUUGCGCUCGUUGCGGGACUUAACCCAACAUUUCACAACACGAGCUGACGACAGCCAUGCAGCACCUGUCUCACGGUUCCCGAAGGCACAUUCUCAUCUCUGAAAACUUCCGUGGAUGUCAAGACCAGGUAAGGUUCUUCGCGUUGCAUCGAAUUAAACCACAUGCUCCACCGCUUGUGCGGGCCCCCGUCAAUUCAUUUGAGUUUUAACCUUGCGGCCGUACUCCCCAGGCGGUCUACUUAACGCGUUAGCUCCGGAAGCCACGCCUCAAGGGCACAACCUCCAAGUAGACAUCGUUUACGGCGUGGACUACCAGGGUAUCUAAUCCUGUUUGCUCCCCACGCUUUCGCACCUGAGCGUCAGUCUUUGUCCAGGGGGCCGCCUUCGCCACCGGUAUUCCUCCAGAUCUCUACGCAUUUCACCGCUACACCUGGAAUUCNNNNNNNNNNNNNNNNNNNNCCCCCCUCUACAAGACUCAAGCCUGCCAGUUUCGAAUGCAGUUCCCAGGUUGAGCCCGGGGAUUUCACAUCCGACUUGACAGACCGCCUGCGUGCGCUUUACGCCCAGUAAUUCCGAUUAACGCUUGCACCCUCCGUAUUACCGCGGCUGCUGGCACGGAGUUAGCCGGUGCUUCUUCUGCGGGUAACGUCAAUUGCUGCGGUUAUUAACCACAACACCUUCCUCCCCGCUGAAAGUACUUUACAACCCGAAGGCCUUCUUCAUACACGCGGCAUGGCUGCAUCAGGCUUGCGCCCAUUGUGCAAUAUUCCCCACUGCUGCCUCCCGUAGGAGUCUGGACCGUGUCUCAGUUCCAGUGUGGCUGGUCAUCCUCUCAGACCAGCUAGGGAUCGUCGCCUUGGUGAGCCGUUACCUCACCAACAAGCUAAUCCCAUCUGGGCACAUCUGAUGGCAAGAGGCCCGAAGGUCCCCCUCUUUGGUCUUGCGACGUUAUGCGGUAUUAGCCACCGUUUCCAGUAGUUAUCCCCCUCCAUCAGGCAGUUUCCCAGACAUUACUCACCCGUCCGCCACUCGUCAGCAAAGCAGCAAGCUGCUUCCUGUUACCGUUCGACUUGCAUGUGUUAGGCCUGCCGCCAGCGUUCAAUCUGAGCCAUGAUCAAACUCUUCAAUUUAAAAGUUUGAUGCUCAAUGAAUUAAACUUCGUAAUGAAUUACGUGUUCACUCUUGAGACUUGGUAUUCAUUUUUCGUC
rnacentral:rRNA from 1 species